CAAGCCACAGGGACCAUCCGGGCAAUUAACUCUUAAUUAAAUUAAACCAUCAAUCAGAGCUUUCCUUUAUUCGUGAAUCAUUCCUUUUAGCAGAGUGUCGGUCGAGUUUGAGUAUUAAAACCAGUCUAAACAACAACUCAGAAACUUUACACACAAACAAUUCCACCAAAAAAUGUUCUGAUCUUCGUUUGCAAAAUUCGCCGGAGCAACAAUCUCACCAGAAUUGGAUGAACUCCGGUCGUCGUUGCAGUUGAUCACCCUUUCGCAAAUCUGUGUUUAAGAUGCUAGGAUUGCAGGAUGUCAUGGAAUCAAGCUUAGGUGGUCUAGAAACAAACUAAAUAAUUUAUGAGUUGUCGGAACUGUUUUUAUCUGUCUUUGAGAACAAUUUGUCUGUAAUAACUGUGUUACUUUAGAUGUUACGGUAUGGGACGUAAUGAUUAAAUAUUUGGUAA